rnacentral:rRNA from 1 species
AGACGAACAGCUCAGUAACUCUUAUUUGAUUUGAUGUAUUAGGAUUCUAACUAUGUUAAAUUAUAGGUAACAAUAAUACAAUAAGAAUAAGAUCUAUCAGUUAGUUGUUAAGGUAAUGGCUUAACAAGACUAUGACGGAUAACGGUAUUACUUUGUAAUAUUCCGGAGAAGGAGCCUGAGAGAUUGCUACUAAGUCUAAGGAUUGCAGCAGGGGCGAAACUUGACCUAUGAUAUUAUAUUGAGGCAGUUAUGAGUAGUAUUUUAUAAUUAUUGUAGUAUUGUAAGUACAUAUUACAAGAUAAAUCGGAGGGCAAAUCGAGUGCCAGCAGCCGCGGUAAUACUUGUUCCGAUAGUGUGUAUGAUGAUUGAUGCAGUUAAAAAGUCUGUAGUUUAUUUUAUAAUAAGCAUUGUAAGGUAUACUGUAUGGUUAGGAGAGAGAUGAAAUGUGAUAACCCUAACUGGAUGAACAGAAGCGAAAGCUGUAUACUUAAAUGUAUUAUUAGAACAAGGACGUAAGCUAGAGGAUCGAAGAUGAUUAGAUACCAUUGUAGUUCUAGCAGUAAACUAUGUUGAAUCAUAGAUAUAUUUUGAUAUAUAUUUAUGUAGAGAAAUUAAGAUUAUAUUGACUCUGGGGAUAGUAUGAUCGCAAGAUUGAAAAUUAAAGAAAUUGACGGAAGAAUACCACAAGGAGUGGAUUGUGCGGCUUAAUUUGACUCAACGCGGGGUAAUUUACCAGGUAUAACAUGAUAUAAUAUUUUAUCAUGAUAGUGGUGCAUGGCCGUUUCCAAUGGAUGCUGUGAAGUAAUGAUUAAUUUCAACAAGAUGUGAGACCCUCAUUUAGACAGAUGUAGUGAUACAUAUGAAGGAGAGGAUUAAAACAGGUCCGUUAUGCCCUAAGAUAAUCUGGGUUGCACGCGCAAUACAAUAAUAUUUGAUAUUAUAAGGGAUAAUAUAAUGUAAGAUAUAUUUGAANCAUGGAAUUGCUAGUAAAUUUUAUUUAAUAAGUAGAAUUGAAUGAGUCCCUGUUCUUUGUACACACCGCCCGUCGCUAUCUAAGAUGGUAUUAUCUAUGAACAAAUUUAUAAA